AACGAACGCUGGCGGCAGGCCUAACACAUGCAAGUCGAACGCUGUAGCAAUACAGAGUGGCAGACGGGUGAGUAACGCGUGGGAAUCUUCCUAUCGGUACGGAAUAGCUCAGGGAAACUUGGGGGUAAUACCGCAUACGCCCUUCGGGGGAAAGGAUUUAUCGCCGAUAGAUGAGCCCGCGUCUGAUUAGCUAGUUGGUGAGGUAACGGCUCACCAAGGCGACGAUCAGUAGCUGGUCUGAGAGGAUGACCAGCCACACUGGGACUGAGACACGGCCCAGACUCCUACGGGAGGCUG
rnacentral:rRNA from 1 species